rnacentral:lncRNA from 1 species
GGUGGGGGCUCGGUCCGGUGGAUCCGGAAAGCGUCUUUGACGGGGCGUGGGUCGUAGUGGGGCUGGGUUUCCAUGUGUAUUAGCCGGGUCAGGAGUCCCGGGCCCCAGAUCUUCCUGGGCACUCAUCACCUUCUCUGGAAAAGCCAAGAGCUUUCCGUGCUAGCAGCCACUUCAGAAGACAGUUUGGGGACGAGAAGGCAGAUGACAAAUGAGGACAGAUUCGCUUUCAGCCCUGUGAGGUCACACUGUUCACUUCGGAGAAACAAAUCAUGGAAAUCAUCGAAAAGGUAGUGAAGUUGAGGUCCGAGUGACACCAG